rnacentral:lncRNA from 1 species
CUGAAAUUCUCAUUUCAGGGACUCCACUUCUGAAGAACACUAACAGACCUGGAUUUAGAAAAAUAAUGAUCUGUUUAUUACAGGAUAAAUGAUGGUACAACACACAUGCAAUAAAUGACAAUAAGAUAAUGAGGAUAAAUAAAAAUAGGUGAAUAAAUAAAGAUUCUGAGUCAGGCUAGGAGCACUAAAGUUAAUGAUAGUGAGUGAAUAUGCUCUAACAUAUUAACCUACACUAACUUUGGUGUCAAGAUAAAUUUGGAUGUGGAUUUGGAGGAAUCUAAGAUUACCAGAAUAAGUGGAUAUCUGAGUUACCACCGCAUGAGACAGCAUCAGCCCUCUUUGGAGCUCUGGAGGUUUGCAUACUUAAGUGAGACUGGUCCUUGGAGAAGAUGGAGCAGGUUCCGAAGGUCUGGGGCUACCGGAGGUUCGAGCGGUUCAGCUCAGAAGACGACUGAAGUCAGCCAAAGGAUGGGCCAGGAGUUGUAGCACCCGGGCCCGAAGCAAAGCUGACGCCUGUGGAUCCUGUGGAUGCUUGUUUGGACGCUUCUUUGGUCUCACUCAAAAACUCUGGCACAGAGGAUGAUCUGGGCCUGCUGGGUUGUGUUCAGAGGUGACUUUGAAAUCACGCAGAUAACUCAGAAAAAAAGAGGCUCGAUGACCAGUGGAAACUUUCAAAAAUGGCUUUGCGAAAUUAAAGAAAAAUCAAUCAAAGGCUUAAUCUUGAAUUGCUAUGCGCACAAAAAGUUGAAGUUUCAAAACUUGAACUAAGACGAUGUUAAAGAAAAAUCAACGUGAAUCAACACGUGGCGUAAAACUUAGAAGACUAAGAAAAAGAGCUAAGAGAAAACAAAGAAGAGGAACACAGAAGGGUGUGGACAGUGAGUGAAGAAGCGGGUGUAAGAGAAAAAGGGAACAAGAGUAUAAGGGUAUGUGAGCAACCCCACUUUCUGGUUUUAUCUUCUCACACUGGGAGUGUCUCUGCUGUGUGUGUGUGUGAGGAGAAAGAGCAGGGGUCGUGGGGUCUCCAGCUGCAGAGGAGACCUCGGAUCUCUGAUUAUUUGAUCUAAUUUAUACUUUUGGCUGGUAAAGGGUCAGAUCUGAUACUCACUCACUAUGAUUAAUAUCAUUGAAUGCUUGGUUUCAUGAAAAAGAUUUGAUACUAAACACAUAUGAAUGAAAUGUAGGAUCAUAUCAAACAUUCUCAUUAUGUUUCAAGUAUCACAUUGAACAUGCUAAAUUACUCUGAAAUGAAACAGAAAGUAACACAUAGAAACUGUGAACAACAAAAGAGUAAACACAUGUGAAUGAACGUCAUCAUGAUUAAUAAUGGAUUCUAAAUACUCACAUUCAGAUUAUUCAAUGACAUUAUUACCACCUAAUUGUUAAAAAUACUAAAUAAACGAUUAAAAUAUAAACCAAACAUUUCUAAACCAUUUCUGUUACUUAGAGUAAAGUUAUGAUUCAUAGUCAAUAAAUUUAACUCUUAAAAGUUCAUGAAAUAGUCUGAAAAGCUGUUGGUCUAAAGAAACUAAAGAAUAAAGGAUUUAUUCUGUCAGAGUGAUAACUCGGCUUCUGGAGCACAUAGAAAAAUGGGAAACAUCUCAUUUUAAAACAAAUUUCAUGAUUAGACAGAUUAGUACAUUGCUGAAUGCAUAAGAUGUCAUGAUCAGUCAUUUGUAUUCUUUCACCAAAGGAAUGCAGUUUUUAUCAGUACAUGGUUGAGCAGGGUUUUACGACCGAGGUCUGGAGGUCAGUGUCCUGCUCCUCAGAGCUUAUCUUGGGGUCUGUAUGUUUAAGACAGUAAAUCACAAAUGGGAGACCUGGAUUGAGGCAUGAAUGAUUAUUUAGAUGGUCAGCGAUGGCGUCAGUUUGAAAGGUAAUAAAAACUCUGUCUCUGUUCUCCGAAUUGACCAAUCGUGAAAAGUCAGAGGUUUGGUCACCCUCCGGUCGUGUCAGUUAGGUAACCUGAAAGUGCAAACAAGUCUGGAAAGAUUUAUAUCCUGUGUCCUGGUACCAGAUAAGAAAACUUUCCUGCAAGGAAUGUGUGAGUUUCACAUACAGGGUUGUCUUGAUUGCUACAAGUAACACAAUGUAACUCUCUUGUAACUCAAGUAUAGAAACACAAUGUAACUGUUCUGUAACUCUAAUGUAAAGUAACACAAUGUAACUGUUCUUUAGCUCUAAAGUAAAGUAAAAAAUGGUUACUGUUAUGUAUCUUUAAAGUAAAGUAACAAUGAAACUGUUCUGUUACUCUAAAGUAAAGUACCACAAUGUAACUGUUAUGUAACUCUGAUGUAAAGUAACAUAAUGUAACUGUUCUGUUACUCUAAUGUAAAGUAGCGACGUAAGACGAUGCGAGGAUGGACAGAGGGCAUGGAGUGGAUUUAACACAGUCUAGACCUGUAAUGACCAGCUGAUUCUGUCGACACCUCCCCCUGCCCCAACACCAAGCCAAGCUUGGCGGACCUUGGACCUCAGGAAAAUACCAAACUGGCUGUACACUGGGCUCCGCCAGAUGAAAAUACCACUGUGCAGACACUGCCACCCUCUGCCGGCGGACACGAAAAUAGAGCCCAAUGUAACUGUUAUGUUACCCUGAUGUAAAGUAAUACAAUGUAACUGUUCUGUAACUCUUAAGUAACACAGUGUAACUGUUCUGUUACUCUAAAGUAAAGUAACACAGCGUAACUGUUCUGUAACUCUAAAGUAAAGCAAUGUAACUUAUCUGUAACUCUACAUUAAAGUAAUAAAAUGUAACUGUUUUGUAACUUUAAAUUAAAGUAACACAAUGUUACUGUUCUGUAACUGCAAAGUAACACAAUUUGAUUGUUCUGUAACCUUACAGUUAAGUAACACAAUGUAACUGCUUUGUAAGUCUAAAAUAAAGUAACAAAAUCUAACUGUUCUGCAACUCUUAAGCAAAGUAACACAGUGUAACUGUUCUGUAACUCUUCUGUUAAAUUAACACAAUGUUACUGUUCUGUAACUCUAAAGUAACACAAUGUAACUGUGCUGUUACUCUAAAGUAAAGUGACACAAUGUAACUGCUCUAUAAAUUUUAAGUAUAGUUACACAAUGUUACUGGGCUGAAACUCUUAAGUAAAGUAAUACAGUGUAACUGUUCUUUCACUCUUAAGUUAAGUUACACAGUGUAACUGUUUUGAAACUCUCAAGUAAAGUAACACAAUGUGACUGUUCUGUAACUCUGAAGUAAAGUAACACAAAGUUACCUUGCUGUUACUCUAAAGUAAAGUGACACAGUUUAACUGUUCUAUAACUCUAAAGUAAGGUAACAUAAUGCAACUGUUUUGUAACUCUAAAGUCAAGUAACACAAUGUAACUAUUCAGUAACCAUGAAGUAAACUAACACAAUAAAACUGUUCUACUUUAAAGUAUAGUAAAACUAUGUAACUGUAACUCUACAGUAAAGUUAAGUUACACAGUGUAACUGUUUUGAAACUCUCAAGUAAAGUAACACAAUGUAACAGUUCUGUAACUCUUAAGUAAAGUAGCACAGCGCAACUGUUCUGUAACUCAUAUGUAAAGUAACACAGUGUAACUGUUCCGUUACUCUAAAGUAGAAAUACACAAUGUAACUGUUCUGUUACUCUAAAGCAAAAUGACACAAUGUAACUGUUCUGUUACUCUUAAGUAAAGUAAUACAAUGAAGCUGUUGUGUAACUCUACAGUAAAGUAACACAAUGUAACUGUUCUGUAACUCUAAAGUAAAUUCACACAAUGUAACUGUUCUAUAACUCUAAAGAAAAGUAACACAGCAUUACUGUUCUGUGAUUCUAAAGUAAAGCAACACAAUGUAACUAUCCUGUAACUCUACAGUAAAGUAACACAAUGUAACUGAUCUGUAACUCAAAAGUAAAGAAAAGCAGCACAACAUAACUUUUCUGUAUCCUUAAAGUAAAGUAAUACAGUGUAACUGUUCUGUAACUUUAAAGUCAAGCAACCCAAUGUAACUGUUCUGUAACUUUAAAGUAAAGUAACACAAUGUAACUGUUCUGUAAC